rnacentral:tRNA from 2 species
CAAUGGCUCAGUUGGUUAGAGCGCCGCCCUGUCACGGCGGAGGUCGCGGGUUCGAGUCCCGCUUGG